GGGGGGCGGCUGUGGUGCAUUGUAGUUGCAUUGCAUGAUCCUGCAGCACAGUGCAAUGUGUCUCCAGUGCAGUACAGAGGCCCUCCGCAUCUC
rnacentral:miRNA from 1 species